AGAGUUUGAUCCUGGCUCAGAGUGAACGCUAGCGGCGUGGUUAAGACAUGCAAGUCGAGCGAUGAAGUCCCUUCGGGGAUGGUAUAGCGGCAAACGGGUGCGUAACACGUGAGCAACCUGCCUUGAAGUGGGGGAUAGCCCGGGGAAACCCGGAUUAAUACCGCAUGUGGUGCCUUCUCGCAUGAGAAGUGGACCAAAGCUUGUAAAGGCGCUUCAAGAGGGGCUCGCGGCCUAUCAGCUUGUUGGUGAGGUAAAGGCUCACCAAGGCGAAGACGGGUAGCUGGUCUGAGAGGAUGAUCAGCCACACUGGGACUGAGAUACGGCCCAGACACCUACGGGUGGCAGCAGUUUCGAAUCAUUCACAAUGGGGGAAACCCUGAUGGUGCAACGCCGCGUGGAGGAUGAAGGCCUUCGGGUUGUAAACUCCUGUCACCAGGGAACAAACAGUCGGUUCGUAGCCGGCUCUGAGUUAACCUGGAGAGGAAGAGGUGGCUAACUCCGUGCCAGCAGCCGCGGUAAUACGGAGACCUCAAGCGUUACUCGGAUUCACUGGGCGUAAAGAGUAUGUAGGCUGUCUGGUAUGUCAGGUGUGAAAGCCCGGGGCUCAACCUCGGAAUUGCGCCUGAAACUACCGGACUCGAGGCCUGGAGAGGGGAGUGGAAUUCCUGGUGUAGCGGUGAAAUGCGUAGAUAUCAGGAGGAACACCAAUGGCGAAGGCAGCUCCCUGGACAGGUUCUGACGCUGAGAUACGAAAGCGUGGGUAGCGAAAGGGAUUAGAUACCCCUGUAGUCCACGCCGUAAACGUUGUACACUAGGUUUCGGAGGGCCUACCCCUUCGGAGCUCCAGCUAACGCGUUAAGUGUACCGCCUGAGGACUACGGCCGCAAGGCUAAAACUCAAAGGA
rnacentral:rRNA from 1 species